AGGCAGGAUUUCAAAGUGGCACAGGAGACGUUUGGGAGUUUUGCAUAUGCACCAGCAAGGCUCUUGGAUCAAGCCCUACAGCAGAAAGCAAGCAGUAUGUGGUGCCGUGGAAGCAAGAUGCUAAGAAAAUACACCUGCGAACAGUGAUGUAUCAAUGGCUGGAGCGAGACAGGAGAGGAGGAACAGGAGGAGGAGAGUGAGAGAAACUGAUUGCCAACCUUAGUCCAGUGAAAACUUUGCUCCGAUAAUAUUUCCUUGGCCUGACCAAUCCAGAUCAACAAUCCUCUUCUUUGGUGAUUGAAUAAGGGAAGAAGCUCUGCUGGGUGACCUUGAACACAUCACUUCACUUCCUUGAGCUUCAAUAUACCUGCCAUCAAAUGGGAACAAU
rnacentral:lncRNA from 10 species